rnacentral:rRNA from 1 species
UGGGGAAUUUUGGACAAUGGGCGAAAGCCUGAUCCAGCAAUGCCGCGUGUGUGGAGAAGGCCUUCGGGUUGUAAAGCACUUUUGUCCGGAAAGAAAUCCUUGGCUCUAAUACAGUCGGGGGAUGACGGUACCGGAAGAAUAAGCACCGGCUAACUACGUGCCAGCAGCCGCGGUAAUACGUAGGGUGCAAGCGUUAAUCGGAAUUACUGGGCGUAAAGCGUGCGCAGGCGGUUUGCUAAGACCGAUGUGAAAUCCCCGGGCUCAACCUGGGAACUGCAUUGGUGACUGGCAGGCUAGAGUAUGGCAGAGGGGGGUAGAAUUCCACGUGUAGCAGUGAAAUGCGUAGAGAUGUGAGGAAUACCGAUGGCGAAGGCAGCCCCCUGGGCCAAGUACUGACGCUCAUGCACGAAAGCGUGGGGAGCAAACAGGAUUAGAUACCCCUGGUAGUCCACGCCCUAAACGAUGUCAACUAGUUGUUGGGGAUUCAUUUUCCUUAGUAACGUAGCUAACGCGUGAAGUUGACCGCCUGGGGAGUACGGUCGCAAGAUUAAAACUCAAAGGAAUUG